rnacentral:rRNA from 1 species
AUGCCUGAGAGCGUGGCGCCCGGCGGGGAGGACCGCAUCGGCGCCCUCCCGGACGAUCUCCUCCGCCGCGUGCUGUCGUUCCUUACCUCGCGCGAGUCCGUCUGCACAUGCGUGCUCGCUCGCUGCUGGCGCCACCUCUGGAAGUCCGUGCCCGUGGUGCGCGUCAUAGAAGGGGAGGAAGAGCUCUGGUUUGUUAAUUCGCUGCUUCUCCUCCGCGACCGGGCGCCGCUGCAUGAGGUCGAUAUCAGAACCUACCUCGACGACCCAUCGGCACCCCUCAACGUUGAGCUGUGGCUCCGAUAUACUCUGAAUUUUUCAAGCUGCCCAAUGCUAGAGGUAUUAAAGAUGUAUGAUUGUAAAAUCAGCGCCGAGAAGAUCUUGUGCAAAUCGUUAAGGCAUCUAACUAUGGAGAUAUGCCGUUUUGACCUGUAUGGCCGCACUCGUAUCUCUUGCCCAAGUCUCACUGCCUUACUAGUUGACAAUUUGGGUUGGACUCCUUCCCUUGAGAGCAUGCCGUUAUUGGUAACGGCACUUGUCAGGUUUGAUGAAGAAUGGUGUGAACGUCAAGCGUGUUAUGAUCAUUGUCUUAAUGGUGGUUACUAUGGGGACUGUGAUGAUGAGCUAUGUCCUUCUUGCCUCUGUCAUGGCGAUGACUGUGUGCUUCUAAAAGGUCUAUGUGACGCUACAAAUUUGAAGUUGACAAGUGCUCCUCAAGCGAUUAUUUGCACCAGGGAUUUUAAAUGGUGCCAUACGUUUAGCAAGUUAAAAACAUUGUUUCUCAAUGAGUGGUGCCUGGCUGCUGACUUCGGUGGACUGGUUUACUUUCUUCAGCACUCACCAAUUCUAGAGAGGCUUACCCUUCAACUUAGACUUCGUGAGGUACUAUAUGUUUUCUAA